rnacentral:rRNA from 1 species
GUGAGGAAUUUUCCGCAAUGGGCGAAAGCCUGACGGAGCAAUGCCGCGUGAAGGAUGUAGGCCUAUGGGUUGUAAACUUCUUUUCUCAGAAAAGAAUUAUGACGGUAUCUGAGGAAUAAGCAUCGGCUAACUCUGUGCCAGCAGCCGCGGUAAGACAGAGGAUGCAAGCGUUAUCCGGAAUGCUUGGGCGUAAAGCGUCUGUAGGUUGUUUAAAAAGUAUUCUGUCAAAGAUUAGGGCUUAACCCUAGAUAGGCAGAAUAAACUUUUAAGCUAGAGUUUGGUAGAGGCAGAGGGAAUUCCAGGUGGAGCGGUGAAAUGCGUAGAUAUCGGGAGGAACACCAAAGGCGAAGGCACUCUGCUGGGCCAAUACUAACACUGAGAGACGAAAGCGAGGGGAGCAAAUGGGAUUAGAUACCCGGGUAGUCC